AUUGAACGCUGGCGGCAUGCUCUACACAUGCAAGUCGAACGGUAACAGGCCGCAAGGUGCUGACGAGUGGCGAACGGGUGAGUAAUGCAUCGGAACGUGCCAUUCGUUGGGGAUAACUACUCGAAAGAGUAGCUAAUACCGCAUACGAUCUAUGGAUGAAAGCGGGGGACCGUAAGGCCUCGCGCGAUUGGAGCGGCCGAUGUCAGAUUAGGUAGUUGGUGGGGUAAAGGCUCACCAAGCCAACGAUCUGCAGCUGGUCUGAGAGGACGACCAGCCACACUGGGACUGAGACACGGCCCAGACUCCUACGGGAGGCAGCAGUGGGGAAUUUUGGACAAUGGGCGCAAGCCUGAUCCAGCAAUGCCGCGUGCAGGAAGAAGGCCUUCGGGUUGUAAACUGCUUUUGUACGGAACGAAACGGCUCUGGUUAAUACCCGGGGCUAAUGACGGUACCGUAAGAAUAAGCACCGGCUAACUACGUG
rnacentral:rRNA from 1 species